UACGUAGGGUGCAAGCGUUGUCCGGAAUUACUGGGCGUAAAGGGCUCGUAGGCGGCCAACUAAGUCAGAUGUGAAAUCCCCAGGCUUAACCUGGGAACUGCAUCUGAUACUGGAUGGCUUGAAUCCGGGAGAGGGAUGCAGAAUUCCAGGUGUAGCGGUGAAAUGCGUAGAUAUCUGGAGGAAUACCGGUGGCGAAGGCGGCAUCCUGGACCGGCAUUGACGCUGAGGAGCGAAAAGCGUGGGGAGCGAACAGG
rnacentral:rRNA from 1 species